rnacentral:ncRNA from 1 species
UUCUGGGAGGAUUGACAGAUUGAGAGCUUUUUCUUGAUUCAGUGGAUGGUGGUGCGUGGCCUUUCUUAGUUGGUGGAGCGAUUUGUCUGGUUAACUCCGAUAACGAACGAGACUAGCCUAUUAAAUAGCCCCCCCCCCCCCCCCCGAGAAGGCUUCCAAAAACGCGCAAACAACCGUCUUCUAGCCUCUCCCUUCCCCCUCCCCCCCAAAAGAAAAAGUAGAAAAGAAAGAAAAAUCCAAAAGCUCUAGCCACUGACAAAAUUGACAAAGAUAGGCGAUUCAGAAGGGGAGAAAGCUAAAAAAAACACUACACCCAAGCACAGAAAAAAAAAAAAAAAAACUUUAGCCCAAAGCGAUUGCCUAUGAAGAGAAGUGAUUCAGAAGGGAAGAUAAGCUAAAAAAACAAACUCUGCAUGCAUGCAAAAAAAAAAAAAAAAAUUUUUUUUUUUUUUUAGUGCUUUGUUACAAGGUAGAGGCGAAGAGAUGAGAAAGAAAGAGGAGCUCUCGCCUUAAACGAACGCAUCGUGGAAGUUUGUGGUAAAUGGUUUUUGCUAUACACCAACUCAUGUUUACAAACAAACCGGAGCGCCCGGAACGCCUCUAGCGGACGUCACCGGCGCCGCGCAUGCGCGAUGGGGGUGUGGGCAAGGCGCUCGCCGUCGCCCAUAAACAAACAUUGAAAUGCAAUGUUAUCGGCGUCUGUGUGAGUCCCCCUGCCCUUUUUCGCGUUCGAAUUGUUGGUUCUACGUCUUCCUGGCGAUGUCUGACUAUCUUGAGCGGCGUCAGCGAAAUUAACAAGGCUCGUUACACCGCAAAACUUCGCGUCAAUAAUGUGACAUGCGGCGAUUCAUUCCGCGUGGACGCCGCAGAAUGUACGCUAAAGCCUGAU